AUGGCAAAGACGAAGAAAUCAGAAAAGAAGCAAGGUGAAUGCAAAGCUGAUGAACAAUAUUUUUGCGGCAGCGCAACACUAUUGUUUGUUGGAGAUGAUGAGAAAAUGGACGCAGAACCUUUUAUGAAGAAGAGAGAGUUUGCACUCUGUUUCACGUGGAAGUGGGACAGAAGCGUGAAUGUGAUGUAUGUGUGGAUAUUAGUGAAACAGAUGAAGUAUGUUGGAGAAAAUGUUGUUCGCAUCGUCGUGUGA